GACGAGGGAUCCUAGCGUUGUUCGGAAUCAUUGGGCGUAAAGCGGGUGCAGGUGGCUAUGUAAGUCAGGUGUGAAAGCCUAGGGCUCAACCCUAGAAGUGCAUUUGAUACUGCGUAGCUUGAGUGGUAGAGAGGAUAGUAGAAUUCUUGGUGUAGUGGUGAAAUACGUAGAUAUCAAGAGGAAUACCGGAGGCGAAGGCGGCUACGUCUGGCUACACACUGACACUCAGACCCGAAAGUGCGGGGAUCAAACCAGGA
rnacentral:rRNA from 1 species